GACGAACGCUGGCGGCGUGCUUAACACAUGCAAGUCGAACGAAGUGGCGAACGGGUGAGUAACGCGUAAUCAACCUGCCCUUCAGAGGGGGACAACAGUUGGAAACGACUGCUCAUACCGCAUACUGAAGGAGGGGUUUGCGUCUGAUUAGCUAGUUGGAGGGGUAACGGCCCACCAAGGCGAUGAUCAGUAGCCGGUCUGGGGGGAUGGACGGCCACAUUGGGACGUGGACACGGCCCCGACUCCUAAGGGAGGCAGCAAGGGGGAAACUUCCGCAAUGGAGGGAAGUCUGACGGAGCAACGCCGCGUGGGUGAUGACGGCCUUCGGGUUUGAAAGCUCUGUUAAUCGGGGCGCGGUACCGGAAUAGAAAGCCACGGCUAACUACGUGCCAGCCGCCGCGGUAAUUC
rnacentral:rRNA from 1 species